rnacentral:sRNA from 1 species
ACAUCUCCAUCCUUUUUGUCUGAUGCAUGAUAUGGCAUUUCAUUGUCUAUAUGUGAUUACUAAUUUUUGAAGUAUACAUUUCUAUGUAUAAGAUAAAAAUCAUUUAUUGUUGAAAAACUUGGUUAUAAUAUUUUAAGUGUAUAUCAAAUUGGUGUUUUUUGCAUGAACUUUUUAAAUCUGAUUGUUAUCCAUGAAGGUGUAUAACAGUUUUCAAUGAAGAAACUGUCUUCAAUGUUAUUUUUUCUCACAGUGCUGGGGAUCAAACCCACAGAUUUGCACAUGAUAAACGACCGUUCUCCAACCGAACAUCUGAGCCUUUAGAUUUGAAGAUAGUUUUGUUUGGUGAUCUCUACUGGUCUUGAACUUGAGACUCUGUAGCCCCAGAAUCUUGCACACUGUAAUCACCAGUGUGGCUGCCAGUCCUGAUGAAAGACAAGGUUCUUCACAUUUUGAUGGUCUCUUUCUUUGGAUUAAAUUUCUUUUAAUUUGUGUGGGGGAGGGCAUGAGUCAGUGCCCAUGGGGGCCAGAAGUGCUCCAAGAGCACUGUGAGCUUUUAACUGGUGAGCCCUCUCCCCAGCUUGACGAUCGUAUUGACAUUUUGGGCUAGCUGAUUUUUUGCUGUAGGGAGAAGUGCCGUGCAUACUGUGAAGUCUAGCAACAUUCCUGUAUGCUAAGUGCCCACAGCAUCUCCCCAGACUGCACAGCUCUCCAGCUCUAGAGUCAAAAACACUGAAAAAAUAUGUUUAGACGUUUGCAAAUUUCCUCUGGGAGGUAAAAGGGCUUAGUGAGGGAAUUCUAUGCAGUUGUUUUCAUACCUGGUUAUCAUUGUAGUUAAUAACCUGGCAAUAUUUGUUUUUAUAAAUUUUAUUUUAAAUAAUUCUUAAGUUACUGAAAAAUUACAAUGCUGGAAUCCGACAUUCUUAUCUCCCAUGUGGUGAUUCUUGCCACGUAGUGAAGUCUUUAUAUAGAGAUAAAUGAUUUUUUAAUUGAAUUAUUUAAAGGUGAGUUGAAUGCAGUAUUUUCAUUAUCCCUUACUAUUGAGGAUAUACUUCCUAAGAAUGAUGACAUUCUCUGUAUAUCCUGUUAUGACUAAUCAGAAAAAUGUAACAUUACCCAGUAUUAGCACCCAGUCUACAGUUCAGAUUCAAGUUUUACCAAUUCCCACAGAAAUGUUCUUUCUAAGUUUUUCACUGUUUUUUCAGGUACUCAUUGGAAGGAUACAUGUUGUAUCUUGCUGUCCUAUUUCUUUAGUUCUUUAUAAUCUAGAUCAGUUCCUUGUCUUUUCACUUGUCUUUUUAUAACUUCAAUAUUCUCCAGGCAUGUAGGCUAAUUAUUUUCUAGAAUGGUUCUCAGUUCAGACUUGUUAUUUCCUCAUAAAUCUGUCAGGCCAGGGGACUUCCUCAGGAACACUAGUGAGCAACGUAACUUACCUGCAGUCUCCUGAGUCAUUUGGUGAAGUUCAAAUCCCUUAUUGGUAGGUUGACGCUGACUAUUUGGUUAGGCAAUUUCUUAGGACUGCAAAUUGAUGCAAAUCAUGUGGCCUAGCACAACAGAUUUUAUUUUCUCUCUCACAGGCUGAAGGUCAGAAUUCCAAAAUCAAGGUGUUGCUGGGAUAUCAUACCCUCUGUUGGUGCAGAAGAGAACUUUGCCUAGUGACUGGUGGCUGGCACUCUUUGUGGCACUCUGCUCUCUGAAAAACAUGUCACGAACAGUCCUAUAAAGAAAUCCAUGUGAAAAGAAGCUAAAGCCUCUACCAUCUUAGCUGUUAAAGAAUGGAGAUUCCAAAGAAACAUUCCCCACUGUGUUCUGCAAGGAUUCCUGACUGGAUCUGUCUAUUUAGCCCAGGCUGUCCUGGAACUUGCUAAGUGCUAAGGAGAACAGACUGGUUCAAACUCACAACAGUAUGCCAAGCGGGAUUAAAGGUGUGUGCCACUAUUCCUGGCUGUAUUACCCUUAAAAAAACAAAACAAAAAACCAAUCGUUACUUAAGAAAACUUAGUUACUUAAGAAAACAAUGGCUAACCCAGCUUGCUCCUCACCCUUUUCCUCUCUCCCUUCCCCCUAUUCUUCUUCGGUGUCAGCAGUUAUCUUGCUUGUGUCAAAACACACUUUCCUUUUUUUGAAGACCUCCUUUUACUUCAGUGAUGUUAUGGUACAGUGCCUGCAGAGCUGUACAUUAAAAAUAAUUGCCUACCAGUGAAAUAAAAGAAUUAUCCUGAGACAGGCUUGGUGUGGGGAAGACCCCAUUUCUGACAUGAGACAAUAUCAGGAUACUACACUGUGAAGGAAAGCUGCACGAGCUGUAGAAGUGAUAGCUUAAAUGACAGAGUAUACAUUCUCCCACGAUUCUAGAGGCCAAAAUCUUAACAUGUCAAAGUGUCAAUAGGGUCAGUCUCUUUGCAGACUUCCCCCUUGGCUGAUAGAUGGCCUGCUAUACCGAUAUAAACUUGGUCCUCCUCUGCAUGCCUGUGUAUGCCUCUCUCCUUACUGCACUGGCAUCUACUUUAAUGACUUACUUUUGCUUAGAGACAUGAAUCUAAACAUAGUCAGUCCUAUCAUGACUUCGGGUUAGGGUUUCAGUUAUAAAUUCAGAGAAGAGAGGACAGAAUCCAGCUACCAUUAAUUACCAUUAAUUAAUUACAGAAUUAUUUGGAUGUCAGUUCCUCAUCGAUGUCCAGUUUGAGCAGUGCUAAACUAGACACCAUCAGAGCCCGAAAUGCAGAUUCAGGGGUUAAUUUGGGAGCUUCACUGGGGUUGGCUGUUGCAAGCUCCUCUUGUUACAGAUUGUUCAUUACAAACAUUAAAACAAGCUGCCACAUCUCUGGCCAUACAGUCCUCAUCUCGUCUAAACAAGCUGCAGAACUGAUUACCUGGAUUGACUGCCAAUCAGGAGAAAUCUGCUAGGGGCAGAUGUGCUGAGGAAGCCACUUAAGCACCAAGGGGACAGUGGAGGAGUCAUAAGUCGGCAACCCUGCGUCGUGGGUCACGAUGUUAUGGGAUGAGACCCCAUAGUCACAACACCCCUCUAUAGCUGCUUUUAGAAAUCUGAGAGUAGAAGGCUGUGGAGAUGUUCCCACUUAAUAUGUAGGUAAAUUUGUUUUGGCAUUUGAAGGAGAGACACUAAUGAGUAAUUCAUCUCUGUCACGUUAAAACUCCCCAGUUCCUCUGGAUAAAUGCUAACUGGUUUUACUUGGAAACCACGAGGACUUUUCUAUUGUUCUGAAUGGAAGGAGGGGCUUUCUUACCAUCUUACUCCCUGGGUUUAGAUAAAGUUUCCAGAGGAGGUUGACAUACAGGCACUGGGAUUCUCUAACUAUCCCUACUUGUUCAUCAAGACAUUUAAUUUAAUUUAAGCCAUGCCCCUGUCAGUGAGUUACUAUUUCAGCUGCUUUUAUAUUUUGUAUGCACAUAUGUUAAAAAUAGUGAUAUAGUGGAAAAGUCUAAAACAUACGACAAUGUUCAUAACCCUAUUUUUGUAUUUCUUUAUGUUUGGGGGAUAACUGCAUGAUGAAACAUGCCAUCAGCAGACUAUGUGACUCUAACCGUGGGAAAACUAUUAAGGUCCAAGACCACCAUGACUAGAUGAUGGCCCUUAAGCUAGGCACAAAAUGGGAGACUCCGUUGUUAGGAGGUUUUCUCUUCCUUUAACCUUGUCUGGGGGAUUCUAGUCCCCGCACUUACCCUUACCUGAGAAAAGUCAUGUAGCAUAAAAAUCUGGAGCUCUUUAUGUUAAUGAGGUAUCUAGAUAGGCUUCAGUGUUCAGCCAAUGAGCGUCCCUUCCCAGGCAUUCCUUUCUGCAAAAGGUACUGAAUCCCUAGGUCUCCCCACUCCUCCCCUCCCCAAGGUAAGGUGUAUGCAUUCCCAUUUGCCAUCAAAUAAAACAGUUUGGACAAGCAAUCAGGGGGGGCCUUUGUCAUAAAGAGCUGUCACAAAGGCUUCCCAGAGAAGGCCUUCUCUCUCCCAGCCCUACUCUGGGCACUCAAACCAAACCUGGCUCACCCCCCUUCCAGGCUCAGCCUUCACCUUUCUGCCUAGCUCAUGGACUCCCUGAGGGGAAACAUGAACCAGGAAACCUGUUCCCAGCUCCCAGUGGUGCCUGGGUACACAAGAGACUGGGAACACAGGAGUCCUCCCAGAUUGAGGACCCCCAUACAACUUUGCUCUGCCUCCUCUGAGCGGUUUGCUGGUGCUCCGGCCCACCCCUAGCUUCAAUAUAGUUAUUUGGGAAGUUGUUUUUUCAUCUUAAGAGAUUGUGAUCUUAAUUCCCCAAUGGCUACCUUCCUCCGUAAAUGGCAGCCGUGGGGUCAAAUCCAAGGUCACUCCACCAUGGCUGUCAAAACAAGAAACAGUCUAACUCUGUCUAUACUGUUUCUGACUUGUUGCUUCAUUUGAGGUUUUUAUUUUAUUUGUUUGUUUGUUUAUUUAUUUAUUUACUGGUGUUUUUUGCAGCGGCCUUCCAAGGUAACCCUGAGAAUAUUCCUAUACUCAAAGAAGGAAUACCUAGAAUGCGUUGCUACAGAAUGUGUGAUCCACUCUUGGCUGUGAUGAUACAUGUUUCUGGGGUGCUGGCAAAGGGACAGCUUCCCAAAUAACUAUAUUGAAGCUAGAGGUGGGCCGGAGCACCAGCAAACCACUCUGUGGAGGCAGAGCACAGUUGUAUGGGGGUCCUCAAUCUGUGUUUUCUCAGGUGGGAACAGCGGGAUCUGGGAGGACUCCUGUGGCUCCCUGUUCGCCAGUUAUAGACUAAAUUUAGACACUGAGCCUGGUGAUCAUAAAUGCCUCUUGCUACCUGAACAGACAUCUCCAGCUCACUGCUCAGGGCCAGUAAGCAAAGCUAUUCUGUGAGAAAGGCAGAUGUUAGUUGAACGUUGUCUCCACUUGUUUAAGACAAGCCUAUGGAAUAUAUUUACAAAAAUGCUUUCCCUUCCAGUUUGCCUCCUGUCAGCUCAUAACUACAGAAGAUGUUCACAAACCCUGAAAUGGCAUCAAAGUCGUGAGUCAUGAGUCAAAACAGGAUCUAGUCAAAGUUUCUUAAAGACCUACUAAUACAAAAGCAGUUCAAAGUUCUCAGAAUUGGUGAUGUAUACAGGCUGACAUUGAGGUCAUAAUGAUUAACCUCAUUCUUUUUCAAGCCUUUGUCUACUACUAUUACUACUACUACUACUCACACACACACACACACACACACACGCGCGCGCGCGCGCGCACACACACAAGAUGCAAUAAAAACCCAUCUUUCCUCCACCCCACUUUACCUCUUAUGAAAUUAUAUAUUGAAGUCUUAAUUCCAGUAUACCACUCCAAACACCAGAAUGAAUAGGUCUAAGCCUUUAAGAACAAAGCCCAAGGGUUUGUUUUACUCCAUUUCAUGUGCUGCUUAUUUACAACAGAUGGUCAAAAACACUCGUCAUACUAAAUCUUGCUUGUGUGGCCGUUGAGAAAUUCCUUUUGGCCGUCACAGGUAAACAUAUUAAUUGUUGCACAAGCAAACUGGAAUGAUUUCAGUAGAAAUGAAGCAGAGGGGAAGUGAUUUUUCUGCCUUAGGAGAUAAGGGUUGGAUGGUGGUGGUGUCUUGCUUGCUCUUCCUUGCACUACAAUGAGAUCCUUCAAUAUGACUAUCUCCUACCACUACGUCUACUCAAAGUCUUAGCCAAUUACAACCCAAGUCUAGGAGCGUCUAUUUCUAGGAGUUGAAAGGGGAGUGGUGUAGGGUGGGGUGGGGGGAUAGCAUGACAAAUGACAACAUCACUUGAGUCUUUGAAGCAAAAGCAAAAGCUUGUGCUUAUCUAGAAAGAAUCUCAAUGCUAAGGAGCUUUAGUUCAGCUCGGCCUUUGAAAAAGGGAAGAUUCUCCUUGUACUGGCUGGUUUUGUGUCAACUUGA